GACGAACGCUGGCGGCGUGCUUAACACAUGCAAGUCGAACGGAAAGGCCCUGCUUUUGUGGGGUGCUCGAGUGGCGAACGGGUGAGUAACACGUGAGUAACCUGCCCUUGACUUUGGGAUAACCUCAGGAAACUGGGGCUAAUACCGGAUAGGAGCUCCUGCUGCUUGGUGGGGGUUGGAAAGUUUCGGCGGUUGGGGAUGGACUCGCGGCUUAUCAGCUUGUUGGUGGGGUAGUGGCUUACCAAGGCUUUGACGGGUAGCCGGCCUGAGAGGGUGACCGGCCACAUUGGGACUGAGAUACGGCCCAGACUCCUACGGGAGGCAGCAGUGGGGAAUAUUGCACAAUGGGCGGAAGCCUGAUGCAGCAACGCCGCGUGCGGGAUGACGGCCUUCGGGUUGUAAACCGCUUUCGCCUGUGACGAAGCGUGAGUGACGGUAAUGGGUAAAGAAGCACCGGCUAACUACGUGCCAGCAGCCGCGGUGAUACGUAGGGUGCGAGCGUUGUCCGGAUUUAUUGGGCGUAAAGGGCUCGUAGGUGGUUGAUCGCGUCGGAAGUGUAAUCUUGGGGCUUAACCCUGAGCGUGCUUUCGAUACGGGUUGACUUGAGGAAGGUAGGGGAGAAUGGAAUUCCUGGUGGAGCGGUGGAAUGCGCAGAUAUCAGGAGGAACACCAGUGGCGAAGGCGGUUCUCUGGGCCUUUCCUGACGCUGAGGAGCGAAAGCGUGGGGAGCGAACAGGCUUAGAUACCCUGGUAGUCCACGCUGUAAACGGUGGGUACUAGGUGUGGGGUCCAUUCCACGGGUUCCGUGCCGUAGCUAACGCUUUAAGUACCCCGCCUGGGGAGUACGGCCGCAAGGCUAAAACUCAAAGGAAUUGACGGGGCCCCGCACAAGCGGCGGAGCAUGCGGAUUAAUUCGAUGCAACGCGUAGAACCUUACCUGGGUUUGACAUGGAUCGGGAGUGCUCAGAGAUGGGUGUGCCUCUUUUGGGGUCGGUUCACAGGUGGUGCAUGGCUGUCGUCAGCUCGUGUCGUGAGAUGUUGGGUUAAGUCCCGCAACGAGCGCAACCCUUGUUCACUGUUGCCAGCACGUUAUGGUGGGGACUCAGUGGAGACCGCCGGGGUCAACUCGGAGGAAGGUGGGGAUGACGCCAAGUCAUCAUGCCCCUUAUGUCCAGGGCUUCACGCAUGCUACAAUGGCUGGUACAGAGAGUGGCGAGCCUGUGAGGGUGAGCGAAUCUCGGAAAGCCGGUCUCAGUUCGGAUUGGGGUCUGCAACUCGACCUCAUGAAGUCGGAGUCGCUAGUAAUCGCAGAUCAGCAACGCUGCGGUGAAUACGUUCCCGGGGCU
rnacentral:rRNA from 1 species